ACGGUUACCUUGUUACGACUUAACCCUCCUCACUGACAUCAGAUUCGAGUUUAUCCUGUCGGACAUACCCUCAUCCAACACCAGCUCGGAUGGUUUGACGGGCGGUGUGUGCAAGGAGCAGGGGCAUAUUCACCGCGGGCUGUUGACCCGCGAUUACUACGGAAUCCACAUUCAUGAGGGCGAGUUACAGCCCUCAAUCCUAACUACGAACAGGUUUCGAGGUUAGCUCCCUCUUUCGAGGUCGCAACUCAUUGUCCUGUCCUUUGUAGCGCGCGUGUAGCCCGGGAGAUUCGGGGCGUACUGACCUGCCGUCGACCUCUCCUUCCUCCAGCUUAGCGCUGGCGGUCUCCUUAAAGUGCAUCUCAAGUCGCCCUGAGAUUUGCAAUUAAGGAUGGGGGUCUCGCUCGUUAUCACACUUAAGUGAACGCCCUACGGUACGAGCUGACGACGGCCAUGCACCACCUCUCCUUCUAUCGAGUAAGCUCAUCAAGUUGACUCUCAUCCAAAGGUCGCUCCCGGUGAGUUUUCCGGCGUUGAAUCCAAUUAAACCGCACGCUCCUCCCGUUGCGGUGCUCCCCCGCCAAUUCCUUUAAGUUUCAGCCUUGCGACCAUACUCCCCAAGCGGCCCACUUAACACCUUCGCUCCGGCACUGCUCCCCCCUAUAGAAGAAGCAACACCAAGUGGGCAGUGUUUACAGCUAGGACUACCCGGGUAUCUAAUCCGGUUUGCUCCCCUAGCCCUC
rnacentral:rRNA from 1 species